CCUACGGGUGGCAGCAGUGGGGAAUAUUGCGCAAUGGGCGAAAGCCUGACGCAGCGACGCCGCGUGAGGGAUGAAGGUCUUCGGAUCGUAAACCUCUGUCAGCAGGGAAGAACGGUCACUGUGCUAAUCAGCAGUGAAUUGACGGUACCUGCAAAGGAAGCACCGGCUAACUCCGUGCCAGCAGCCGCGGUAAUACGGAGGGUGCGAGCGUUAAUCGGAAUUACUGGGCGUAACGCGCUCGUAGGCGGUCUGUCAAGUCAAGGGUGAAAUCCCCGCGCUCAACGUGGGAACUGCCUUUGAAACUGGCAGACUGGAGUGUGUGAGAGGAUAGUAGAAUUCCAGGUGUAGGAGUGAAAUCCGUAGAUAUCUGGAGGAACAUCAGUGGCGAAGGCGACUAUCUGGCACAUAACUGACGCUGAGGAGCGAAAGCGUGGGUAGCAAACAGGAUUAGAUACCCUUGUAGUC
rnacentral:rRNA from 1 species